ACAUACGACCAUAGGGUGUGGAAAACAGGGCUUCCCGUCCGCUCAGCCGUACUUAAGCCACACGCCGGGAGGUUAGUAGUUGGGUGGGUGACCAGCAGCGAAUCCCUUCUGUUGUAUGUU
rfam:Aspergillus kawachii IFO 4308 DNA, contig: scaffold00040.